CAGCCUCACCAGCCUUACUUCCUCAGUGCCCUCAGCCUCACUGGAGUGCCCUGGCAAAGUUGGAAGUGAGCAGUGCUCAGGACACCAUGACCAGCUGUUUCUAGGCUUUGUUACUCACGCCGCACUCUUGUCCCAAAGAGCAAGCCCACUAGAGACUUGACCAGUCCUGGUGACAUGCUCAGCCACCGUGGGGCAGUCCUUUCCCUGCCUGGCCUCGGCUUGUGUACCCAGACUUCCAACAGGGUUACUACUCACUGGACAGAGCUGAUAUAAGAACUGAUUGGGGGAACAAUUGUGAAAAUGCUGCCCAAGUGCAUACACUGGAUCACAUGGGUCCCAGCUGAGGGCUCCUUGUAUUGCUGCAGGUGCACUGAGGAGUGAACUUCCAGGGUCCAGCAGGGGGCAGCAGAGAACUUCCAGCAAGACCAGAGUGUGCCCAGAUUGCUCCGUACAGAUGGAGCAAAAGCUGUAAUGGUACAACCAGCGAUAGAACCCAGCUUUCCUUGCCAUAAGCCUGUUUAAACUGCCUGGUUCCUGAUUGUAGGAGCAAGUGGCUUAGCCGGGAGAAGCAGCUCGGGAAGUGAUACAUGUCAGAGCUCAGAAUAUCCUUGAGAUCUGGCUGCCCCAGAGACAGAGCUUGUGGCCCAGGAUCUGGUUUCUAGUACCAGGAAGGGGCUCCCAAAGGAAUAAACUUUGAAAGGCCUCAUCUGUGCCCAGGAUGGCGAUGCAGACAUGGAUAGUCCUGCUAUUUGCUGGCUGGUCUCAUCUGUCCAUUGAAGCAGGACCUCUGGGGCCUGCUCCAAUUCCUGGCUGACUGAGUUGAUAUGACCCAACAUCCUUGGAAAGACUAAAAUUGCUUGUUCCCGGAAACCAUGAGGCAAGCUGAGUGAGCUCUUUGGAAAGUCCCACUGGCCUUUCUUCAAUAAAGACAAAUGAAUUUA